rnacentral:lncRNA from 1 species
CUUAGAAGGACAGUGAUCAAUUGGCGUAAGAGUAUUGAAAUGCAUAGUAGGUGGUCUUUCCCAUUCUUAUGGAGGGGCCAGGAACAUGUCCCCCCCUCAGCCUCAACCCUCCUUCCCCCAAAAGAGUAGGAAAAGGAGGGUACAGAACAGGAGCUCCUACAUCCCCUCCACCAAUUUGAAAUCUCUACCUUCUCUGUAAAUAGGUGAGAGUUCUGUGGAGCCGACACUGGUAGCAGCCUGCUCGGUCAGGUCUGGAGGGGCACUUGUCUCAAAACCCUUAGGCUUUAUAGAUUUGCUUCUUUGAUAUGACGUGUAUAAAAACACUCUUUGGAGGUCUGUUUCCAAUAGGCCAAGCAGAAUGAAGUGCUGCGGGUGCAGUUUCCAUAGUGGAGAACCAGAGCUGCGAUUGUUCCCAGUGGAGAAUAUUUUCAAGCCCCUUCAUCGGUAAGGAGAAGGGGGCCCAUGGAAGACACAGAUAUGAGAUGCAGAGCAUAAGCAAGCAGCUGUUACCAUAGCAACAGACAUAUUAGACACUGCAGGUUCCUGAAAGCUGUCUGAUAAGGUAUUAUUAAAUGAAGCCUCCUCAAAACACUCUCCAUUUACAACUGAACGGAAAGACAUUGUGUAGAAAGUAAUCUAUUUCCAUUUAUCAGGGUGAAAUUUACUUUUAGAAGAACUGAAACCCAAUUCAAGCCAAAUCUUGUGACCUUGGACCCAGACAGCAGAAAAUGUUUAUCCGAAUUUAUAGCUUUAGAUAACCGGGACAUACCCAACGUCUAUCAAGAAUUGUCUGUGUGGUAGAUUUUGCCAGCUUUUCCUAUUCUACAGCCAACUGCAGCUAAUAGUCAAACCAUUUGACAAGGAAGGAAAGUCACUCCUCUUACCACCAUUCAUCCUGGUCACUUGGGGACAAAGCAGACAUAACUUUCUCCUUUUGGAGGAUGAAUGACUAUACACUGGCCAUUCCUUAAUGAUAACGCUUUUGAAAACUGGAACUCUGGGGCACCUGGGUGGCUCAGUUGGUUAAGCUUCUGACUUCGGCUCAGGUCAUAAUCUCACACUGUGUGGGCUCGAGCCCCACGUCGGGCUCUGUGCUGACAGCUCAGAGCCUGGAGCCCGUUUCAGAUUCUGUGUCUCCCUCUCUCUCUGCCUCUCCCUCACUCUCUCUCAAAAAUAAACAUCAAAAAAAAUUUUAAACUGGAGCUCUGAUUUGAGGGACAUUUCUCAUCAUGCUGUUUUCAGAGUUUCCUGUUCCAGUUGACCAGGAACAAACAAACAUACAGUCAGAAAGUCCAACCAAUGCCUUCCCAUGGCCAAUUUUUUAAUAAAUUUACAGUAAAAUGCCCUCCAGGAACAUGAUUGUCACCGCAGGCUUAUUAUAAUCACUUGGUUAUAAAACAAUUACAAAUUCCAUUUUAACACCAAACUUUUCAGAGGAAGCACAGUGGUAUCUGUUUUGAUUAAGGAGGGCAAACUUCAGUCCUCAAACAGGAUUAUGGAUUCCCCCUAAGCUACAGCCACCAAUUCUCCUCUAACCCUGAUUGCUCAUCUUUUCCUGCUGAACUAAAGGAUCAAAGUGGAAAUACUUCAUCACCUCAAUGCAAACCAUCCUCAGAGCUUGAAAAACCAAUUCAAUACUGACAGCCAGGCAAUAACUCCAUCUUCUAAUGCAGACAGAGGGUAUUAAACCAUCUUUACAUAUACCUUUAAGAGUAAAACCCUCAUAUGAUUAUAUUUCUCAUAACUUUCAACUUUGUUUCUGAAUCCACUAACUUUCUCUUGCUGCUAGCAAAGUGACUUCCUAUAAUCAGAACCUUUCCCACAAUUUGCACACUUUUCAGAAAUGUCUACAUUUCUAGUAAAAACAAUCCCAUUUAUAAUUGCACCAAAAAUAAUGAAGUACCUAGGAAUAUACUUAACCAAGAAGGUAAAAGUCCUGUACUCUGAAAACUUAAAACAUUGAUGAAAGAAACUGAAGACGACACCAAGAAAUGGAAAGACAUUCCAUGCUCAUGGAUUGGAAGAACAAAUAUUGUUAAAAUGUCUAUACUACUCAAAGUAAGCUACACAUUUAAUGCAAUCCCUAUCAAAAUACCAACAACAUUUUUCACAAUCAUAAAAUUUGUAUGGAAUCACAAAAGACCCUGAAUUGCCAAAGCAAUUCUUGAAAAAGAACUGAAGAUAUCACAAUUCCAUACUUCAAGUUAUACGGCAAAACAGUAGUAAUCAAAGCAGUAUGGUACUGGCACAAAAAGACACACAGUUCAAUGAAACAGAAUAGAAAACCCAGAAAUGAACCCACAGUUAUAUGAUCAAUUAAUCUUUGACAACGGAGAAAAGAAUAUAUAAUGGGAAAAGACAGUCUCUUCAACAAAUGAUGAUGGGAAAGCUGGGCAGCAACAUGCAAAAGAAUGAAAAUGGAUCGCUUCCUUACGCCAUACAAACAUUAAAUCCAAAAUGGAUGAAAGACCUAAAUGUGAGAACUGAAACCAUAAAAAUUAUUUAAGAGAGCCCAGGCAGUAAUUUCUCUAACAUUGGCUAUAGCUGCAUUUUUCUAGAUAUGUCUCCCGAGGCAGGGGAAAUAAAAGACAAAAUAAACUCUUGGGACUACAUCGAAAUGAAAGGCUUCACUUCCUUCCAGUGAAGGAACAAAACUAAAAAGACAGCCUACUAAAUGGGAGGAGAUAUUUGCAAAUGAUAUAUCCAAUGAAGGGUUAGUAUCCAAAAUAUGUACAGAACUUAUAUAACCUAAACCCCCCCCCCAAAAUAAACCAAUUAAAAAAUGGGCAGAAGACAUGAACAAACACUUCUCCCAAAGAGAUACAGAUGGCUAACAGACACAUGAAAAGAUGUUCAGCACCACUCAUUGCCAGGGAAAUGCAAAUUAAAACUAAAAUGAGAUACCACCUCACACCUCCUAGAAUGGCUACAAUCAAAAACACAAGGAACAGCAAGUGUUGGCGAGGACAUGGAGAAAAAGGAAAACUCAGGCACUGUUGGUGGGAAUGCAAACUGGUAUCGUCACUGUGGAAAACAGUAUGGAGGUUUCUCAAAAAGUUAAAAAUAGAAUUACCCUAUGAUCCAGUAAUCAUACUACUGGGUGUUUACCCAAAGAAUACAAAAACACUAAUUGGAAAGGAUAUAAGUAUCCUUAUGUUUAUUCCAGCAUUAUUUGCAAUAGCCAGACUAUGGAAGCAGCCUAAGUGUCCAUUGAUUGAUGAAUGGAUAAAGAAAAUGUGGUAUAUAUACACAAUGGAGUAUUCAGCCAUAUAAAAAAAAAAAAAAACGAAAUGUUGCCAUUUGCACCAACAUGGAUGGGUCUAGAAAGUGUAAUGCUAAGCGAAAUAAGUCAGAGAAAGAAAUACCACAUGAUUUCACUCAUCUGUGGAAUUUAAGAAACACAACAGAUAAACAAAGGUGUAGGGGGAGGGGGGGAGGGAAGGAGGGAGGGAGGCAAUCCAAGAAAAAGACUCUUAACUAUAGAGACCAAACUGAUGGUUACCAGAGGGGAGGUGGGCGGAUGGGGGAAAUAGGUGAAGGGAAUUAAGAAUACAUUUAUCAUGAUGAGCACUGAAUAACGUAUAGAACUGUUGAGUUGCUAUACUGUACACCUGAAACUAAUAUAACAAUGUUAACUAUAGUGGAAUUAAAAAAAAGAACUUAAAAAAAAGUCUACAUUUCUAUAGAAAAAAAUCUCCAUUGUCUGCUGUAGGGAGAUAAGGUACACAGGGGUUUCAGUACAAAGUACCAAGUACAACCCUUUUAGGGAUCAUGCUUCUCCUAUAUAAUUAUGUUGUCAGGGAUUCUUCUAGAACAGGGUUUAUAAACCUGGUUCCAUGUAUGAAUUUUAAGGUAUUCUUAUGCUCCCUGGCAGUAUACACAGUUUUGUAUAUGCAGAAUACUCAAUGGUGGUCUUAACAGUGGUUGUCCAACUUUACUGUGCAUAGAAUAACCCAGUAAGGCUACAGAAUCACUUUUAUUGGAGUCUCUAAAAAGGUCGAGAAUCACUGCUGAGAAGGUGCUAGUUAGUGAGUAACAUCCAGAAAUAUCUUAGGGAUUGGUACCCCAGGAACACAGUAGUUACAUGUUGUCCUUGAAGACUCCGUUGGUAAAUGAAGAAGAUUCAUAAUGACCACCAGACUCACUUAUGUGAAAUGCACCUCACUUUCACUGUUAUAAAAAUAUGACAAACAAUGUAUAUUUGAAAUAUAAUUUAUAUUAUAGUCCCUAGGGAUGUAUAAAGGAAACCUACUGUUUAAUGUAAACCAGUCAUACAGAUUAUUAUAGGCUCAUAUUUUCUAGACCAGGCUUAUAUCAAAUAGGAAAAAUUAUCACCUGAGGAGAAGAAAGAUGCCAUUAAGUACUAAAAAUGCUUCCCAUAUCACUUUCUGUUCCUUCAGGCUCUUAUGGUUCCAGGCCAUCAGUGGGAAGUGUGAUGAGGCCUGAGAAAAUCCCCUUGUUAUUUCCAAGGCUGGUGAGAAUGCCAAUACCUGUAACACAGAAACCUACCCAUCCAAAAAAACGGUCUCCACUCAGAGAAUCUUUACACAGUGUUCACCAGUCUAUCUGAAAACACCCACGGAAAGGGAAUUUAUACUUGAAAGAUCUCUGAGAUGAAACUUAUGCUGGGUCACCUUCAAGUUUCCUAUUGGCUGCUAAAGUUCUCUUGAUGCAUUAAUUGUAUGUUCCCCACGACU